rnacentral:rRNA from 1 species
UAGGGAAUCUUCCGCAAUGGGCGAAAGCUUGACGGAGCAACGCCGCGUGAGUGAUGAAGGUCUUCGGAUCGUAAAACUCUGUUAUUAGGGAAGAACAAAUGUGUAAGUAACUAUGCACGUCUUGACGGUACCUACUCAGAAAGCCACGGCUAACUACGUGCCAGCAGCCGCGGUAAUACGUAGGUGGCAAGCGUUAUCCGGAAUUAUUGGGCGUAAAGCGCGCGUAGGCGGUUUUUUAAGUCUGAUGUGAAAGCCCACGGCUCAACCGUGGAGGGGCAUUGGAAACUGGAAAACUUGAGUGCAGAAGAGGAAAGUGGAAUUCCAUGUGUAGCGGUGAAAUGCGCAGAGAUAGGGAGGAACACCAGUGGCGAAGGCGACUUUCUGGUCUGUAACUGACGAUGAUGUGCGAAAGCGGGGGGAUCAAACAGG